rnacentral:lncRNA from 1 species
ACAUACAUAUUUUGCUCGAGCAAAAAGACCAAUUGAACUAUUUAAUAGGGCUCCGUGGGGUUCUCCACCCCCGGUUCCAUUUUCUUUGCGGGUCCGGGUGGAUCCGGACUAGAUUGAUUUUAUUUUAUUUUUCACUCUCUGUCACCACUCCAUUGGGGUACGUCGGAGUGGAAGUAAAUUUUUAGCAAAUUUUUAACUGAUCAAAAUAGAUCAAAAAAAAAAGAAAAAAAGAAGAAGGGUCUCCCACCUCCCGCAUUUUUUAUUUUUACAAAUCGGAGAGAAUUUGGAGUGGAUGAUUUUUUUUUUUUAAUUUUGACUCUCAUUUAAUGUUUCAUUUAGACGGAUGGAUGCGAGAGCUCCGUCAAUUUGGUCUAUUUGCAUCACUACUCUAGGUUUUCACCAGCUUAGUAGACCACAUGAACCGCUGAGUAAAUCCGACCGGACCGGUCUAUUUAGUACUUUCCUUUUCUGUUCACCCGACCCUGCCCAAACCCAAUCCGUCUUAACUCCCAACGAGCAUUCCUGGCCGUUAAAACUCCCUGGCCCCACCUAAUCAAACGGCCCGCCAAAUUCAACGAUGAUGGCACUCCCCGUAAUUUUCCGGAACCCCGAGGGCCAUUGCUUUUUCUUUACCCUAAAGAUAUUUCGCGCAGAGGUUUAAGCAAAGGAAAUGGGAGGCGACAGUAGGGUUUUGGGGUCCUGAAGAGAGAGAACGAGUGACUGCGUAGUAUCAGCUUCGUCAUCAUCAUCCUCCUCCAUAUAUAAAUAGGAUCAAGAGGAGAGACAGGGUAAACCCCCAUUUUCGUCGCCAUGGUAGCUCCCCUCGGCUCUUGGAGAAGGUCGAAUCCCUCGGACAUGUCGCCGCCGCCAUUGAAGAGCUCCAUGACCUCGGUGGAGCUCUGAGACCUCGCUUCGUUCGGAUAAGGGGGCUCCUUCGAUCCUUCUCUUUCCUCAGGUUCUCUCUCUAGCUCGAUAAAUCUUACAUACAUGCUGAUUUUGACGGGUUUUAUGUGGAUAAUGUGAUUCCAUGUGUGGAAAUGUUCUAUGUAAGCCUAAUUUUUGUGUUUUGGUGCGAUUGGUUUAGUGUUUUGUAGAUAAUCUAUUUGUAGAUUCUUAUUGCGCUUGUUUUUUUUUUUUUUUUUUUUUUUUUUUUUGUUCGGCUCUUAUUUUCGUUGUGGUUGGAUUGAUUUGAAUUAACUGAUAAUUGCUUAUUAUCAUUAUUGCUAUCAUCUUUUUCAUCUCUGUUGAUUCUCUUUUAGUUUUGAGAGAGUCGAGUAAUUUUUUCCUUCUUCUUUUGUUUUCCUAUUCUUAGUUUGAUUAGCAAUGAAGAUUGCUAGCCCACGUGGAAGCAAUUUCGCUCAUUCGUAGCUAAUGGUAUGAGUGAUGUGAUCUUUUUGAUUUUAUAUUUUGUGGACUGUUGAUUUGAUAGGAGUGAUUGAUCACCCCCGAUGUUAAGCCCUAAAGUACAUGUACUAAGCCAUCUUGAUUUCAUGUAGAUCCUGGCAACUUUAUGGCCAGUAGUUUUAUGUACUAAAUAAGUUUGGUAACUUUGUUUUCUCUUGAAGCUCAAGAACUCGCAUGUGUGGACAUUUUUGACACUAAAUCAACUUUGAGAACUCACUGGCUUGAUAUGUUACUCGAUUUAGUUUCAUGUUUUUGAAUGUUGAGGAGAUUUGUUGCCUGCUUUGUAGAAAUUAAUGAUUUCUUGAUUUGGUUGUUGAUUGGAGAAGGAUUUUCAUAGCUUCCACUACAACCACAUGCUUAAUGCAAUAACUGCUGAUUUUCACUUUUAAGCUGAUGCAUGACUUUAGUGCACUAUUUGCCUAUUAGUGGUGAUUCGUACGUCCGUAGCAUUGACUUCUGUUUCUUAGCCCCAAAUGUUGAAUAAUAUAUCUAUUCUCGCAGAUGGGAAAUGAAGUUACUGAUGCAAAGAAAGACCAUGGAGCGAAAAAGAAGACACCGGAGCAGCUUCAAUUACUGGAGAAAUUCUACUCUGGUAUUAAUCAUUUCUAUUUUUCUUUCAUAAAUCUGUACACUCUUUAUCUUUUCUUAAUAGCUUCAUACUACAACAAAAAGCAUUUUAGAUAUAUCACUCUGUCUGAUUUUCUUUUGAUUCAGCGGAGAGAUACCCUAAUCAGAAGGCAAUGGAAGAGUAUGCUGCAUCUGUAAACUUGACAUAUAAUCAGAUCCGCAUAUGGUUUGUAGAAAGGAGAAGAAAAGAAAGAAGAGGGGAAGAACAAAAUAUCCUCGGUAUGAAGGACUGUCAGGGUGGUAGAAGAGUUCAUACUUAUGAAUGCAGUAGCAAAUGGUCUGUGAAUGGUCGAUUUCUCAAACAUAUGCAUAGGGUUUUAGGAGGGCAGAGUGCAGGGAGGAAACGCCUUAUGAGGUUGCAGAUUUUGUUUCCAAGGGAUUACAUUUUGAGGAAAGUUUUUCGCAAAGAUGGUCCUCCCCUUGGGGCAGAGUUUGAUCCUCUUCCCAACAAAGAGUUUGAUUAUCGUGUAGGUAGGUUUUUUUUUUUUAAUUUUUAAUUUUUUUAUAUUAAAUGAUUGGCAACCAAAAUUGGAUUUGCCAAUUAAUGCAUGUCAUAUGUUGUGUUUCCAUUAGUAUUGAAAUGGGAGUCCUAGAAAGAUUGUAAUUUUGAGGCUGUCUAACUACGUGUGAUGAUUUUGGCUUUUGCAGAUGCCAGAAGCCUUCGCUCCUGUCAUGACAAUAAAAAAACCACAAAAAAGAGAAAGGUAUUAUGGUGCUACUUUUUGAAUGGUACUAGUUUAUAUUUCCUUAGGUACAAAGUUUCAUUUGAGGUAUAUGUGAUAAUUAUGCCAUCUUGGUUCAAUUGUUCUUUCAAUUAUUUGAUUUGCUCCGUAUAAUAGGUUGUUGCAGUCAGAGGACAAAAUUAACACUGUUAUCUUUUAGUGAUAUGAGGAUGAUAUUUAACCUUGCUUCACAUUGUAUAUGCAGUUAGAAAAUGCUGUAUCGGUAACUAAUAAAAGGACUUCCUAUUUUUCUCUCUUUUUUUCUCUCUUUUUUUCUUCAUACACACUUCUCUGAGCAGUGCUUAUUUAUUAAAAUGAUCAUACAAACAAUGAAAUAUGAUCAUAGUUUUCUUUUACUCACCUGCUUUUCAUUGAUGUUUUUCAAAUGUAGAUCUUCGAGUCUCCUAUAGAAGAAACCAGAACUCCACCUGUGGAAAAUGUUCCUCCAAAGAAACAUGGCAUUGGUAAAGGUCUGAUGACAGUGUGGCAUGCGACAAAUGCGAACAAGGGAGACUUCCCUAUGAAUCUCAAUUUUUUGUGUCGAAGUACUGCUUUGGGGACUUUAAGUUCAAGUGCUGGAAGCAAAGAAACACUACCCAAAGAUUCCAGUCCUCGGAAGCCAGUUUCAGUAAGUUCCAAAUCUUAUUUUACAUAUCUUGGUGUUCAUUUUUGCUCAAAACUCAAAAAUAAGAUGUUUAAUGUUUUCAUGCUCUAUUUCUUUCCCUGAACUUCACAGAAACGAACUGCAGUACCCAAAAGGAUAGAGAAGAAGAGAAAACCUCCAUUGAUCAAAAGAAAGGUAGUACUGGCUUGACAACUCGAGCUGCUAUCGAUACUAUCUGGGAACUUCAUUAACACAGCUGAUUGAAUUGUGGAGACAGCACCUAAAGAAGUGCUGCUGUUUACUUUCUAAUUGGCUUCUUACAAAUUUAUAAAGGAGCUUAUUUAGAGAAAAGUUGUUGAUACUGAACUUGAAUGUGACGGUUUGUAACUAAUUAAGAUUCAGCAUCGUGUGUGUCACUCAUGCAUUCAUUUACCUUAUAGGUACCAUGUGGUAAAGCUGUAGAACCACAGAAAUCACAUGCAACUGAAUGUAAGCUCUCUGUUGAUGAAUGCCAAUCUUCAGAACUGGAAAAUGAGCUGUCAGUAUUAAUUGAUGAUGAGGAGCUAGAACUUGAGGAAUUACAGACAGGGCCUAAUCCAUUGAGAUGUUCGGCUCAUCUUGCUUCAAGCGGUAGACAUGAUUGCCCGCUCUGCAAAGGUUUGUUUAUGCCUCUUAUGUCUUACUAAGCCUUCUUUGUCUAACAAGGCACACAACUGAUGAUGUUUGUUGAAAUUUUAGACCUAUUGGCCAGGUUUCCUCCCCAAAGUGUCAAGAUGAAGCAGCCAUGUUCGACAAGACCUUGGGAUUCAUCGCCCGAACUUGUUAAAAAGCUGUUCAAGGUUAGUGGAUUCAUAUUGAACUUCUGCAUGGCAUAACUUCUGUUUAGAUCUUGCUUUGUUCAUCCCUUUUUAUGUGUACGAAGGUAAACUCUUUUCUUUUGUUAAAGAAUUUUUAAGUUGUUUUGAGUUAACAUAAUUUUCUUAGUUUAUAGGAGGUAAAGAGGACAAUAAUUGUGCUAGAUAUUGUUCAUGGUUCAAAUCAAUAAAUUUUCCUAUGACUAUAUAUGACUAGUAUGCACCUACAAUGGAUUGCUAUUGCUUUAUCCUACUCUCAUGUUAUAUGCAGAAAUGCUAAUUUCUAGUCUUAAAUUGUUGUCUGAUUUUCUUGAGAAGAUCUACUUGUUGGAGUUUAUCUAUUUCAUUUUAUUGCUUCCUUGUUCUAGAAAGUUCCUGUUUGGCCUGUCCAAUGGAACAAUUUUCUUUUCUAAUCAGCAGUUUCCAGGCGUUUGUCUAACAAGAAUAUAUGGGAACUACUGAUGUUAGACAAAAAUAUAUAGGAACUACUGAUGUGGCAGGAAGCUGAAAUAAAGCUUUUGGACCCCAAAAUUACAAACUUACAAUUGAAGCUUCUGCUUCUGCUGCAGCGGAAGCUGUUGGGACAUGUUAUAAAAAUUCUAUUGGUGUUUCCUUGAACAACUCUACUUGAAAAGCUGUUCUGCGGAAUCUUAAGCCAGGCCAAACAGGAGAAAUACAUAUUCAGGCUUAUUUCUUUAGUGCAUUAUAUACUCUACUUGGUUGCUUGAGUAAUCAGUGGUUAGAAGCUGUACGCUAACUUCUUUGCUAUGUUUCUACAUUUUUGUGCCCAUACUUACACUCAUUCUCCAAGUAUUUAUGUUUAGUAGGAAAUGAUUUACCUAAUUAUAGUGCUGUAGUAAUUUGUUAAAAGUUUAAUAGGCCAUGCCAGUAGUAUUGGACAUCUAGGCUGUGUUUGAUUCUGCCAAGCAUAAUAAAAUUUGGCAAGAUUUUUUUUAUAUCCGGUCAAAGCGGGUUAUUCCAACUUUUCUGGAAUAACCUGUUAAAAUAGUUCCAGUCUCCCCUUAGAAUAGGAUUUAUCCCUAAAAUAUCAAGGGCAGGGUAAUAAAAGCCCUUUCUCUUUUCCCAUUACGCCUUGUAAUUCCCGCCGCUUUACUCCAUCCCACCAACCCUCUUUUCUAUUGUACAUACAAGAAAAUUAGUAUCAGUUAAUCAUAAUAAUAAGAUAUUUAAUUAGUAGAAUAAAUAAAUUAUAUUUUUACUUAUAUAUAUAUUUGAAUUUAAAUAAUUAUUAAUUUGUUUGGUUGACAAAAGGAUUUGAAAUUGGAAUAGUACUAAUAUUAUUAUUUGGUUAAGAAAAAUUUAAUUUACUAUUUAAAUUCGUAAUCAAAAUUUAAAUUUAAAUUAAAAUUUAUAGCUUAAAUUUUCAUUUAAAUUUGUAAUUUAAAUUUAAGUUCAAAGUCAAAAUAUAAAACUAUAUAUAAAUUCAAAUAUCAAACAUAUAUUAAAAUUUAAAUUUAAAUUUAAAAAUUAAUAAAUUUUGAAUUUAUACUAUAACUUUAAAUUUAAAAUUAUAAUUAAAUCUAAAAUAAAUAAAUUAUAAUUUUACUUAUAUCGAGUAGUCUAUAUAGAUAUUAUAAAAUGACGUAAAUUUGAGCUAUACAUAAGGGCAAAUUUGGCAUUUUGGAAUACCAAAAUUUACUUUUCCCACUAUUUUUCUCUUAUUUCAAGAAAAUUACCAAACAUCAUUUUGUUUAUUUGGAGGAAUAUACUAGAACCUUACCAAACAAAAAAAUUCUUUUAUUUCUCUCUGUCCUAUAUGAAGGUAUUCUAGGGAUAAAAAAUUUUAUCUGACAGCAUUGUCCAAUUUCCAAACGCAGCCCUAAAGAAUAGCUUAUAUAGGGGAAUUUCAUUGAGCUCAUGACACAGUAUCGAAGAGAUAUAGAAGGUUGCCCACUAAGUUUAGCACGAAGUUGAUGAAAAUUCUGACAAAAAGAUUAGGCAAAUAUGCACCUACUUACGUAGCUAAUACAAACUAUCCAGGAACUGGUGCCCUCCUUCCUAUUGGACCUUUUGAGACUCUAUUUAUCUAUACAGAAACAGUACUUCAAUCUUCCUUCUAACACUUUAACUAGUCAAUGAGAUGUUUUGAGAUUAGCUGUACUAGCUUACUUUUCACAACUCCAUCAUUUGUUCCUGGGAAUUUAUUGCCUUUCUCUACUUUUACGGCUCUAUUUUGAAUGUCUGGCAUCAUUUUGGCUUUCCGACGUACAAAUCUGUUGCCUUACUUAGCAGGAACAUUAUUUGAAUUAACAACUAUAAGCUUUUGCCUUUUGUUCUCUCUUGUGAUUUCAAGUUAAUAUAUGCUGCUAUAGGACAAUUUCCUUUUUAUAUUUGUUACCAUUUUUGAAGAACAAGAGGACAGAUUUAAUCAGUAAAUAUUACUUUUUAUAUACUGGAAUAAUCCGAUAAACUGAGGAGCAUGGUAUAACCACCAAAUAACUUGAAUACUUGCUUUAUACAAGUAAAAAAAAAUCACCAAGAGCCAACAGCUUUCUGACUCCAGUUUGCUACAUUAUUAUCAGUCAAUUUUGUUGCUUGAUGGGUGGUUGUGUUCAAGGUGAAUCAUCCUGUAGCCUCCAACUUUACUUCCGAAUUGUAUUCCUAUAUCAUCUAAUCUAAUGCAAGGCCCUUUUUUUUGCUAGGUUGUGCAAUUCCUGUACUCUAAUUCUAUCAGUAUCGAUAUACAUUCCUUCACCUUCGACGAGUUUGCGCAGGCAUUCCAUGACAAGGUCCAACCUUUUUGUAAAGCACUCUCUGCAAGACCUUUUUGUGCAUAGAUCAUCAUUGUAUUUGGUCUUGAAAGUUUCUGAAAUUUUGUGUUGCCAGGACUCCAUGCUGUUGGGAAAAGUGCAUGUGGCUCUUCUGAAGUUGCUUUUGUUAGAUGUGGAAAGGGAAAAAUCUGGUGGAUUUAUUCCUCGACCUUCUAAGGAUUGCAGAUUCUUGCAUUUUUCGAACUUUGUAAGUUUGUGAUCCUUGUAUCUUUAGCCUUAUACUUUAUUCUUGAUUAAGCAGCAAAUCUCUGCUUUUACUAAAAGUUGUCCCUGCAGAUUUUUUUAUUCUUUUGACAACCUUUUUCCUUUUUCUUUUUCUUUUUGAAUUUUGUGUGCGUGUGCGUGUGCGUGCACCUGUGCACGGUGGGGGGAGUGGGUGUGGGUGUGUGUUGUGGGNAUAGAUUGUGCAAUUGAUCGAAAACUAAUGUCUUCUAGUUUCUAUAAGUAUGUCCAAAGAAACUUUGUACUGUAAUUAUGCCCGGUAAUUUAGGAGUUAAGUUCAACUUUAAGUAUCUGUGGGGUUUUCUCUAUGUUGUCUACUAUUUCUAAGCAGCAAUUUUUUCGCUUUACAUACAAAGGAUUAUAACAAUUCUAGAUUUAUGUUGUUAAGUGUGGUAAAUCAUAACAAGUACUAUUAUGCAGGUGUAACCAGAUGCAAUUAUAGUUAUGCUAUGUUGUGGCAUAUUAUGCACUGUAUGAAUGUUGAUUUAGUGUUAUUUCUUGUUAGCUCUGACAUUUCUCCCAUAGAAUUUGAUUUUAGAGAAUUGCAUAAAAUUCCUAUACUUCCUGUACUCUAAAGACUGAAGAAUGACUAGGUUUAAAUUCAUUACGGAGAUUAUUCCACCCAUUAUUAUUUGCAUGAUUUAAGAGUUUUAAUUGUCAAAUAAGAUAUCUUCGAAGUUGUUCUAGAUUAGUUAUUUUAAAAAGAUUCCGAUUGUCAGCCACUGCUAUGUUGACUGGUUAAAUUUAUUACUGCAUAACUUGGUUUUAUCUACAUUGCUGUCAUGUCUUUGAUCAGAAAUUUUUUAUCAUCUAUUUCUUAUCCUAUGCAGGUUAGAGAACAGGAAUUUGAUGUAAAUUUCUGGUGUCAAUCCCUUAAUUCUCUUACAUGGAUUGAAAUACUGCGGCAAGUUUUGGUUGCAGCAGGUUUUGGUUCAAAAUGCAGCUCACUGCAAAGAGAAACUUUUGGCAAGGUAACAGAGAAUACUGUUUUAUUCUGACUAAGUGAUAAAAACAUCUCAGAGUUAUAGAUCAAUUUUCUUUCUGAAAUUGGCUAAAUGCUUUUUUUAUCGUCUUCAUGCACAGAGAAAUGUUGAAUCUUCGUGUACAGAGAAAGACAGAAGUCACAGAACUUUAAAUUCUGAACUAUUGAUCAGUUUUUCUUAGUUCAAGUUCACUUUUAUGGUGAUCUGGGUGUAUAAGGGUCAUUUUGAACAUGCUUUAUAAGACGCUUGUGUUCUAAUACUCUCUUCUUGCCCGAAGGGCAGCUUUCUCAAUCACUAGUUAGCUGUUUGUCUGGCCUGACUAGACCAGGUCAAGAAUAUAUAACUCAGUGCCAAUCAUCUUUACACACUUAGUGUACAAAUUAAUCAUGAAGCCUUUACAUAUAUGCUCCAUGUCUAUAUACUGGUUUGGUGUCAUGGAUGAAUUAUUCUAAGCCAGUAUGUUAUUGCAUGGCGAACUAGUUGGUUCAUCUGAAAGAAUAGUUUUGUAUAGUCUUGUACGAACUUGUGCUUUCUUCUGUGUGAAGUUCUUAGUUGUUUACAAUUUUGAUCAUGGUUGGGACUGUUUAAUAUGGUAAAACUGGGACUAGUACAGGAACAUGUCAAGAUAAAGAAUGUAUGGAAUUUGUUUGUCCAUUGAUUUACCAGCUGAUUGGGAAAGGCUUCUAUUGAAGUUGAUUGAGUCAAUUCGACAAUUGAAAGAUCCAGAACAACAUGGACGGAAGUUUGAAAACAAUGAUCAGGGAAUAUUUACGAACAAGUAUUUGGCAGGAACUAUAAGUGAUUAAUAUUCAUGAAAUCUUAUGCCCUACUGUUGUGAGAAGGCUAGGUGUAAAAGAUAUGAUGGUCUUAGGGAACAAUUUGCUAUAGUGAAUCAUAUCUUUGACAUACAGAUUGUCCAUGACUUGCACUCUAUCUAUUCAAACAAUUAAAAUAUGCCCAGGAAAAAAAUUGAAGUAUUCAAGGAGAUCUUACCCAUUCAUCCAUAGUUUACAAUUUACAUACACUAGCUGGCCUUUCUUGUUCACCAUAUCUCUUUUUUAUCUUCUGUGACAGAUUGAGUUCUCAGCAAAAGAUAUGCUAAGAAUUUUGUUUAAGUUUUGUGUAAUUCAAAUUAGUCUAAGAAGGAAAAUGUAAAAUGUGGUUAUGGGCAAUUAUCAAAUUUCCACAUAGUGCUGUCCUUUGUUCUGGCCAUUUUCAAUUAUUCUACAAUUGUAACUUCCACAUUAGCCAUAUGAUGCCGUUUGUUUCUAGCCAUGUGAUGCACAGGCAGGUUCUCUGUAAGUUCUAUUGUAGAUGUGAAUCUCGAUGUAACAUCAGGGCUCUGAUAAGGCCACAUUUUAACAGGAAGAUACCAGCUGAAUUGGAAUCUCCAAUCCUAAUAAUUGUGGUUCAUAACAGCUACGGCUUAAAAUUUAUCUAGAGGCGAAACUAACCUAUUCUACAGAUUUCCUUACUAUGCGUCAAAGAAUAAGGCUCCGUUGGGCUUGUGCAGAUAUUGCAUUACUGUGGUGAGGAAGUACGAUAGGAUAAAUAUCUUGUUUGUUUCCGUACGUAAUAUCACAUUGCACAUACCAAAAUGAGCCGGUUAUUAUUUAUUUUUUGUGGUCCCAUCUGUAAAUGGAGGAGCAUAAACCUAUAUGCUUUUGCCCGAAGUCCGUUUUGCCUAAUAGCGUUAGAUGGGACUCAAUACCUAAUGGCCCGAAGUGCUUAUUGUCAUACAUAUGUGUCCAUGUUUGCUUACGUUUUCAUGUGGGAUUACAUGCAUUUACUGCUUAUUUGGUUGUUUGUAAUGUGCUUAUACGAUAUUCUUCGUGCAGUUGUAGUGUGUGCAUGCUCAUGUAUCUGUCUGUGUCUGCAUGUUGAGUAUGCAUGUGCCUGCUUAUGCUCAUGUGCACUUUUGCGUAGAUCUGUAUGACCACAUCAGUACGACUUUAGAGGUUUAUCAGCAAUUACAACCACAAUACCUGAAUUUUUCUUUUAACAACUUUUUCCGUAAGUUUGUGUGAAUUCUGAGAAAUUAAAAUUUGAUAGUAGUUUUUGUUUAUUAGAAAUUUCUUUGAUCAGGUCUUGCUCUAUUCUUUUAGUUUGUACAUCACAAGCUAAUAUUUCCAUUCUCAGCAGACAGUGUUGGCGUGAUGAAGUCAUACAAGAUCAUGUUGUGCUUCUUCUAUGCAUUAGUUUUCUAUCUUAUAAAAUGUAAGGAAAUAUGUUAAUAUUUAUUAGCGUACUUUAAAAUAUGAGAUGAUUAUUACUUUGGAAGAGGUACUUAUUUCUUUUCUGUUAAGAAGGAUUUUGAGAACCUAAUUUAAUGUCCAUUCUUCUUGUCAGUUAUUGGUAGUGCAUGCCUCAUAAUGUGAGAUAGUGUGAUGCUCUUGUGCUGCAUCCUUUAUUUAGUGAUGAACAAAUUGCUUUAAUGUUUAGUCAGAAAACUUCAAUGCUGUAUACGGCCUGAAUAUUUUUCUACCUAGCCCAAUGCCCUCAGAUAUUCCCGUUAACCUGUUUCCUGGAGAGUUUCUUUCUGCUAAUUGCUAUGAUGGCAUUAGGCCUUCAAUUGGCCUUGGUGCUUAUUGUUGCAACCUUUAGUGGAUUUAAUUUCAUUAGUUCUUACGACUUUCGCCACUUGAUUACUCUAGUUGACGGUAUCACAGCUAGUUUUAAAUUUAGUUUGUGUAUGCAAAUGUUGAUCUCCUUUUUUCUUUCUUUUUGCCCUGAUCUUUUGGCAUUCUUUUUACUUCUCCUUUUGUUCUUUGUUACUUUCAUCUAACAUGGAUACAGUAGCUAGGUUAGCUAUACGAACGGUUAUGGUAUUUACGAAGUAACACUGAAGGCCUUAUCUUUUUGUUAUGUCUUUAUAUAGGAGAGAAAUCAGAUGGUAAAAUAUGGCCUACGUCCCCGUACAUUGAAAGCUGAAUUAUUUUCUUUAUUAGCAAAGAAAGGAAGCAGUGGACUAAAGGUUUCAGAGCUGGCAAGAUCUUCUCAGGUGUGACUUAACGAUAUCUUUGUGCUUUUUUUAAUUCAAUACAUUCCAAUUUGUUCGUGCAAUCUUUAUAUUUUGGUUUUUCAGAUCAUCGACCUUGACCUCCCCAACACAACAGAAGAAAUAGAGCAACUAAUAUGUUCAACUCUUUCAAGUGAUAUCACAUUAUUUGAAAAGAUUGCACCUUCUGCAUUUCGCCUUCGGGUUGAUCCUCACAUCAAGGGAAAAGAAUAUCCUCAAUCAGAUUCUGAUGAUUCAGGAAGUGUUGAUGAUGAAUCUCUGAAUGCCAGUACGAGCAGUAGCAGCGAUUCUGAUGAUUCUGAGGAUAUGGAUUCUUUCACUUAUGAGAGAAGAAUCCACAGGAAUGGGGCUCGAAAGAAGAAAACGUGCAAGAAGUUAACCAAAUAUAGUGAAAUUGAUGAGAGUAAUUCGGGAGAAGCAUGGGUGCUAGGGUUGAUGGAAGGAGAGUAUGCGGACCUAAGCAUUGAUGAGAAGUUGGAAGCUCUAGUUGCUUUGGUUGAUCUUGUUGGCAGUGCUGGUUCCUGUUUAAGAUUGGAGGUAUUCCUCAGUUCCUUACUGUAAUAGCUUGCAACUCUUCUAUGUUUUUUUUUCAAUCAUCAGACUAUUCUGUGUUUGCUAGUAGUGCUAUAACUGUUCCUACUGAAUUACUUGCAUUUACCAAAAUUCAUUGCCAAAUUGCACAUCUUUUGGUACAGAUUUUUUACAAUAAUAUAGUCAUGAAUAAUCCUCAUGCUUCUGGCUGCAGUUACGUUCUUUACUUUUGCCUCCUUUUGAACUAACUGCUUUAGUGCUGUGAAAAUUUCCUUUUUCACUUUGUGUUCUCGCCAAUAUUAGAUGCUUUGCGUUAAGAAAUCCCUAUAUGUGGCCUAUCCCAAUUUUGCAGAGUUCAUCUUUUGGAUGUUCUUGCCUUUGGUCCUUUUCUUGCUUUAACUUGGAAACAAGUAUUGCCUGUGCUGUUCGUGCUGAAUCGUGCUGAGGCUGUGCCUGCAUGUGGCACGGAUGGGUGCCGACAGCAUAUCACAAAAUAAAUUUUUUUUGAGUUUUUAAAGGUUUUUUUUUUGAGGUGAAAACUGAAAAGUUUCACAAAGGUUUUUCCAUGCUUGAAAUGUAUAAAUCGUGUAAAUCUACUAACAUUUGUUGCAAGUAAUGAGUUCAAUUGCAUAUGAGAUCAUUGCUUAGUGAAGAAAGACAAAAAAGAAGAUCUUGCCCAAUUCUUUUAUCAUUUUAGAUGUAGUGAAUUCGCUUAUGGUAGUGCUUUUCUAUAAAUUUUUACCCAAUUAUGACAUUAGUUUUGUUUUGACGCUUAUACUUUCAUUAUAUAUGUAUAUAUAUAUAUAUAUAUAUAUAUAUAUAUAUAAAGGUUAAUUUCAUACUGGUCCCUGCAAACAUAGUGAAUGACAAAUAUAUCCUUACAAAGUUCAACUUUCAUAUGUUGGCCCUGCAAAAGUCUUGAUGUUUUCAAAUAUAUUCCUGCCGUCAGAAUCCGUUAGAAAAAUUUAGUUAACCAUAGGUUAAAUACUUAACCUUGGUUAAUUUUUGACAUUUUUACCCCUAUUAUAUUAUAUCGUUAUGGCUUUUGGAGGGACAUAUUUGUGAUGGCAAAAUUGAAAAUAUAAAUGAUUCUCUAAUGGUAACAAACCAAAGGGACAUAUUUGAAAACAUUAAAACUUUUGUAGGAACAACAUAUGAAAGUUGAACUUUGUAGGGAUAUAUUUGCUAUUCACUAUGUUUGCAGGGACUUGUAUGCAAGGAUUAAAGUGCCCAUCAACACGGGCUGUAUCCACCGUGCCGUAUUGUGUCAGCAAGAUAUCGGGUAACAAACCAAAGGGACAUAUUUGAAAACAUUAAAACUUUUGUAGGGACAACAUAUGAAAGUUGAACUUUGUAGGGAUAUAUUUGCUAUUCACUAUGUUUGCAGGGACUUGUAUGCAAGGAUUAAAGUGCCCAUUAAUACGGGCUGUAUCCAUCGUGCCGUAUUGUGUCAGCAAGAUAUCGGCACGAUAUAGCCUCCAUGUCGAUGGCACAACUCAAGACACUCUAUUCUUGAAAGUAGAAAGUAAUUUCCUCAAUAAAGUUCAAAAGAUUUGAUAAAAAUAUAUAAUAAAUAGCAAGGAUUUAAGUGCCGUGACACGAGGUCGUGCCGGAAACUUGCCGGCACGCUGUGUGCUGAGCCGUGCCGAUGCGUGCUAGUCAAAAAAAUUCUUGUGUGCCGAUACAUAAGAGUAUGAAAUAUUUAUUUUCUUUAGCAACAAAAUAUUCUAACUAUUUAUUAUGUCUUUUUAUCAUAUCUUUUGAACUUUAUUCAGAAAAUUAAUUACUAAUUUAAAGAAUAAAGGGUUUUGAGCUGUGCCAUCGGCAUGUAUCGUGCCGGUAUCUUGUUGACACGGUAUGAUACGGUGGAUACGGCCCGUGCCGACGGGUACUUAAAACCUUGAUAAAUAGGGGAAACUUCAACUACCCCCCUGUGGUUUCGUACUUUUUUACUUUAGUACCCUGUGGUUUAAAGUGUAUCAAGUUAGUAUCCUGUGGUUUCGCACUUUCUCACUUUAGUAUCCUGUGGUUUCAAGUGUAUCAAGUUAGUACCCUGUGGUUUCAUUUUUGUAUCAAAUUAGUACUCUGUGGUUUCAAUUUUCUCUUUUUAUUAUCCAUUUCGGGGUAUAUAAUUUAACGAAAUAUUAAAUCACAGGGUACUAAAGUGAGAAAGUGCGAAACCACAUGGUACUAACUUGAUACACUUUAAACCAUAGGGUACUAAAGUAAGAAAGUGCAAAACCAUGGGGGGGUAUUUGAAGUUUCCCCUAAUAAAUAAUUGGCAUAUUUUGUUGCUAAAGAAACUAAUAUUUCAUGCUAUUAUGUGUUGGCAAACACAUAUUUUUUGUGACCGGCAUGCACUGAUUAACCCUAUAUAUAAAAUGAUCCUUAUGACUCUAUUUUUACUAAACUGUGCGAGAUAUAGCAGCACUUGAACAAUUUUUGUAGUUAUUAGAGAUAUUAAAACAAUCUAGAAAGCUAAUUUUUUAUGAAAAUUAGACAAAUAGUUUUGUGCCGAUGUGUGCUAAUAUUGUAGUGGCGUGCCACUAGCACAGUGGGGUGUGCCGACAUUGGCACACCCCAUGCCACUGUGCCGUGCCACUGUGGCAUGCCCCGUGCCACUGUGCCGUGCUAGUGGCAUGACAAUCCUUGCUUGGAAAUGCAUACACCUUGUCUUUUUGUGUAUUUUCUACAAUCAUUUUCAUGUGUUUUUGGUAACUAAAAGGGCACCAAUAUCUAUUUCUUUGGAAAAAUUAGUUUAAUAUUCUUCUACGUAACAAAGGAGGAGUGCUCUAUCUCACAAGGGAAAGGUGUUCAAAGUCAAAGGUUUUCACCAACAUGACUGAUAAACUAAUUUGCACAAAGUUAUGGCAAGAUAUAAAGUGAAGGUCUGUGUGUUGUACUUACUCUGCAAGUGGACUUUUUCUGUAUAUAAAUUAGAUUCUCUUCACCUAGAAGAGCUGCCUUGCGAGGGAUUUCAUUAAAUGUAAACUGUUAUAAUUCAUGAGCUUAUUGAAGCCUAUUUGAUCAUUGGACCCUUUUAGCAUCUGAACUACAAAAUUUAAUGAUCUUUGCCAUUAUGCUUCUUAUUUUUCUAGGAAUCGGCAAGAACAACAUCUGUCAUCCCAAAUGCACAGCAUCAGAGAUCAGGAGGAAAAAUAAAGAAGUCGCAGAACCAUCACCUAUUGUCAAGACCAACAAAUAGUGCCGAAGAAACUAAUCCGGCCCAAAAUCCUUUUCCUGCUGAUUCUUCUCCUACCAGGUCAAAGGGUUAUCAGAGGGGUCGAUCAACUUGCAAAAGAACUGCUUAUACCUCCAGUGACUCUGGAAGGAACAUAGAAGCUGCAGAAGUAUCUGGCCUAGUUGUACACCAACCACAAUCCAUUUAUCUAGGAUCUGAUCGUAGGUACAAUAAUUAUUGGCUUUUCCUUGGCCCUUGUACAACCAACGAUCCAGGCCACCGUAGAGUAUACUUUGAGUCUUCUGAAGAUGGUCACUGGGAGGUGAUUGAUACACCGCAGGUUCAUUUUCUGCCUUUUAUACCAAUUAAAAAGUUAUAGUAGUAACCAAUUUCUUCUUAAAAUUGACGUAUUCAUGGCUGACUUUGUUAAAACCCUUAAUUGUUCUUCUUUGACUAUUUUGCAGGCUUUACUUGCUUUGCUAUCUGUUUUAGACAGUAGGGGCAGGAGGGAAGCUCGCCUUGUCGCAUCUUUGGAAAAGAGGCAGGAAUUCUUAUGCCAAGCUAUGAAAAAUUUCAUACAAAAUGAAAAUGAAACCAGACGAAGUCAUGCAUCUGAUCCAUCUGACAUAACGACCAGUAGUGGAGAUGGAUCUUCUCCUGUUUCAGAUAUAGAUAACAUUGUAAUUCCGGAUUCCAUAAACGAUUUCUCCACCCCAUCUGGUGUUAUAGUUCUUGAACUUGGAAGGAAAAGCGAAGAAAAGAUGCAAAAGUGGGAGAGGCUGCAGGCAUUUGACAAAUGGAUAUGGAAUUCCUUUAAUUCAGUUCUUAGUGCUGUAAAAUACAGUAGGAGGUCAUAUAUGGAUUUGUUGUUUCGCUGUGAAAGUUGUCAUGAUUUGUACUGGCGAGAUGAAAAACAUUGUAGGAUAUGUCACUCAACAUUUGAGAUUGAUUUUGAUCUCGAAGAAAGAUAUGCUGUCCAUGCAGCAACAUGUAGGGAAGCAGAAGACACCUGCGAGUUUCCGAAGCAUAAAGUUCUCCCUUGUCAAUUGCAAGCACUCAAAGCGGCAAUUUAUGCAAUCGAGGUGAACAACUGGACAUGCUAGUGUUGUUAUGGCUUUCUGACAGUAUCUUCUUGGACUGAAAAUUUCAUGCUCACCUGUUUAGUACAUUAUGAGUAGCAGAGGUUUCAAAAUUAUAUAGUAUCUUGUAUACUGCUGCAAAAUAUGUAUUUUUCAUAUAUGCUCUUCAAAUUCUUUUUUUGCUCUUGUACCCUUGUACUUACAAAAAAUGUCCCUCUUUGCAUAGCUUUCUCCAAUACAACAAAAAACGUCCGGUCACGAAUCGGAUGACUCCUCAACUUACGUUAAUUUUUUUUUCCCACUCUAACGGAACUGCACUUUUCCAGUGGUUUAUAUGAAAAUUGAGAUUUUCCAGGGGUAUUACAUUUGUAGGUCAUUGUAGAGGGUUGAUAUAGAAGUCCCUAGAUAGUAAACAGAUGUUGUUUAAUUAAUAGUAGCUGGAUAAGCUGCAUACUUCUUAUAUUGACAUGUGGUAAUGGAUUCUCAUUCUCAUGCUUUCCUGCAGGUAGCAAUGCCCGAGAUGACAUUAGUCGAUUCGUGGAGGAAGUCUGCUCACAAGCUGUGGGUUAAGCGUCUUCGACGGACGUCAUCUUUACCAGAACUUCUGCAGGUUCGCUUUUCUCUCACCAGAGCUGUUUUUAUUUCCUUGCUAUAAUUUAUCUCAACACUUCGAAGGGAAUUAACGUGUAAUUUGCUUUAUUUGCUUCUUUGCUUGUGACAUACAUGGCAGGUUCUUACUGAUUUUGUCGGUGCCAUAAAUGAGGAUUGGCUGUAUGAAUGUGCCUCUACAGGCUCAAAUUCAUCUGUUGAUGAUAUCAUUAUCAACUUCCAGACAAUGCCACAAACAAUAUCUGCAGUUGCACUUUGGAUAGUCAAAUUGGAUACUUUAAUUGCUCCACAUUUGGAAAAAGCUCAUUCCGAUAGAACAGCAGCAAACAUGCAGUUAUCCAAACGUAUGUAGUAGUUUAACUGUAGUUUAUACUUGUUCUUUUUCGAUGUUUGUGAUGCUGCUUCUGUUUAAAGGGUUACACUGUGCUAUAGAUUACAAUGCUAGUGCUUUUACUGAUUUACGGACUAGUUUUCAUUCUGCGAUUGCUUUAUUACUGGGUAGCAGUUAUUUACUGCGUAGGUUUUUGGAAUGCUAGUUGACCUUCUGUUGGAUUAGUUAGGCCCUGCUUCUUAGUUUCAACUAAUUUGGAUCAGCUUUAGUUUCCUUGGAUUCAUUCUAAUUAGAAGGGAAAUGCUCUCAGUUUCAUAGUGGUGGACCCUAGUUUCCAGUCUGUACCCUCCAAAACUAAAAGAUUUGGUUUUUAAUUUAGUUUAAAAGAAUGUUUCACUCUGUUUUGGACGAAACCCCAAACCAUUGCACUGCGUUUUUCUUGUUGAAUGCUAAGAUAUGAACAAUCCGGCUGUUUUUGGACAUUGCUGUUCUAGUUAGAAGCUGGUAGAUGAACACGCCAUCUUUCUAAGUAGGGCUGGCAAACGAGCGAGCCGGCUCGCGUUCGACUCGUGUUCGGCUCGAUAUUCGGCUCGCUCGAGAGAGAGAGAGAGAGAGAGAGAGAGAGAGAGAGAGAGAGAGAGAGAGAUAUAUAUAUAUAUAUAUAUAUAUAUAUAUAUAAUAUAUAUAGUAUAUAUAUUAUAUGUAUUUGAAUUAUAUAAGGCUUUAACUUUAAUUGUGGGCAUAUUGUUGCCCAUAAAAUAAACAGGCCAACAAGUCGACCGUGCAAUUGAGCCCAACUCAAAUUUACAUAACACACUCUCUCUUUCAGACUUUCACUGUUGCAACAUAACCGCCCUAAAACAUGAUAACAUUCAAAUCACUACUUGUUUUCCUCUCUCUCUCUCUCUCUCUCUCUCUCACUCAGACCCUCAUCCAGUCAGGAAGUCACCCUAGCUCACAUUUCUUAUAAUUAUUUUGUAUUUUGAACUAUUGGACAUGUUGCAUCAAAUUGUAGGUAAUGUUCUAUAAAAAUUAAACUAUUGAUUAUAUAAUGUCGAGAAUUUCAAUCGGCUCGUUUAGAGCUCGAGCUCGGCUCGACUCAAAAUUAGGCUCGCUCGAGCUCGGCUCGAAUUAAUUUCAAGCCGAGCUUGAGCCUAGAUUUAGGCUCGAAAUUAAUUUCAAGCCGAAUUUGAGCUGACAUAAGCUCGCUCAAGCUCGGCUCGUUUCCACCCCUAUUUCUAAGGUUGUGGUUAUUGCAUAAUGAUUUGGUAGAAGUAAGGAUUAAAGUCCCUAUUGGCACCGGCCUUAUCCACCGUGCUGUAUUAUACCAGCAAGAUAUCGGCACGAUACAGUCCCGUGUCGAUGGCACAACUCAAAACUCUCUAUUCUUAAAAUUAGUAAGUAAUUUUCUCAAUAAAGUUCAAAAUAUUUGAUAAAAGUAUAUAAUAAAUAAUUGACAAAUUUUGCUGCUAAAGAAAAUAAAUAUUUCAUGUCAUUACGUGUCGGCACAUAUAUAUUUUUUGUGACUGACAUGCAUCGGCACGGCCCUGCACGCACCGUGCCGUGCCGUGUCGGCAAGUUUCUGGCACGAUCCCAUGUCACGACACUUAAAUCCUUGCAGAGAAGCAUAUGAUGAGAUCAUUUCUUUUGGAUCUAAUCUUCUUUUACUUUGUUUUUUGAUUUCUCUUCCUGAGUUCUCAUCACUGAUUAUCAGUAAUCUAGCCAUCAAAUUCACCUUAUUUUUUUAUUUUAAUAUUAUAGUUCUCUGUCAGUUUUUCGGAAUAUUUGAAGUCAUCCUAUCUACUUUAGCCUCAAUUAAAGCACUAGUUUCCACCCAAUGGCUUAUAUUCGUGAACAAAUAUAGGCUGCCUCGACCUUAAACUGAAAGUUCUGGUUGAUGCCUAUGGUCUUGUAUAUUUGCAGAAACCAUCUUUAGGUGCAAUUAUGGGAAAUCAGGUUCUAAACUUGUUGGGUCUGAUGUCUUUGCUGGCUUAAUUUAAUUACUUGUUUCCGUUGAUACAACCAUCUAAUUAACCUAGGUUUACGCUAAAUACCUGUCAUUCCUAUAAGAACCAUAUUCUGUGAUUUUGCACCUUUGUUAAACUGCUGUCCUCUGAUGUUGAUUUAGAUUGAUCUCGAAACUGUAGAAUUACUGCUUCCAAGUAUAGGUGGUUCAUGGCAACCAUUUGUAUCGUGUGUGUCAUCAUUGUGCUAUAUCGUUUCUUAUAUUAUAUUACUCCCUAUUUGAUCGGUAUAUUAAUUUUGUUUUCAGGAAAACGAGCCUCUACUAGGUAGUCAGGAAUCAAUUGGACCGAUUAUUUUGUGCAUCAGUAUCCUUUUAUGUAAUAAGCUGAUUUAACAUUUGGAGUGGAAAUGUUGGGUUACGGUUUGUCUCUACAGUCUCUCACGAGCAUGCUGGUCAUGCAAAGUUUGAGAGCUUCAUUGAUUCACCGCAGGCAUUCUGAUCUUUCAAAGGAUCACUUCUGAACUCCUAUUCCGGCACAUUUGGAGCUCACCUGGUUGCAGAAAGUGAUCGUUUAAUUUGCAGAAGACCAAUGGCUCAUGUACAACUAAUAUUGUGGCCCCAUACACAGCAAAAACAAAAUUUCUUGUGAAUAUUCAUUACUUCAUUUAUAUGGUUUAGCUACAGUUCUUUUUUGAUCCUUCAUAUUUUCUGCUGUUAAUUCAGCAUUUACUAGGAAAUAUGUACGGGGUGUCGGCAAUUUUGUAACCUGAAUAUCUAGUCUCUUGUUCGGUGAGUGUGUAAUGAAAUAAACGUGUUGCUGCUAGUUUUGUUGGAUCCGCGUACCGACUUAGUAGUGUUGAUUGGAAAUUUUGUUGUUGAAAGAAGUAGAAACGACUUGAUAGUAUUGAUUGGAAAUUUUGUUGUUGAAAGAAACAAAAGAGGAUGGAUCGAUCGGAGCCUAUUGCUGGUAAUCAUCUCUCAUAUAUAUGGCCAAGGUAGAACAGUGCAAGUAAAUACUUGUUGGGUAUUUAACAUUGUGGGUAAUACUUGUUGUGCAAUUCGAUGAGUUCUGGAUUAGAUCUCAUAGGAACGAUCUAUUUUAUUUGAUUGAUGGAUCCCACAACCAAACCCUUUUUUUUUUUUGUUGAAUUCUUUGAAUAAGGGAGCGUUUUUUUUUUUUUUCCUUUUUUUUUUUGAGAGAUAGGUAGCAUGUUAUCUGCUUCGUUUAUUUCAUUUAGAAAUAAAUUUAGCUGAAAAUAUGAAUCAAUUAGAUUCGAACUCAGAAUUUUGGGUAUCAAUCAUCAAAUCUUUUGUCACUUGCGCUAGGAACGUCGGUAAAAAGUAGUUGUUUUAUUCGAAGCGCUUCGUGAUUUUCAACCAAUUAUGUGCUUCAAUACUUAGCAGCUUGUUUUCAAUACUUAGCAGCUUGAUCGCACCAAGCUUCCGCAAUUUCAGAAUCACCUUGUAGAAUGGCCUGUUCUCUCCGGUCGGAAUAGGUGGUUCCUUUCCUUAGAACUGGACUUGAGAGUUUUCUACCUCAUCGGGCUCAUAAAUCGAUUCUUUUUGUGUCCUAUCUGAAUCUACCCUAUGCUAACUGAAUUUGAUUUCUCAUAAAUCUAUCCCAUUUUUUCUUGGGUUAAUCGGAAGAAGUUAAUUACAUAAGUUUCAAACUCUAAUUUUGAUCAAUAAUCAGAAUUAGUUUGAUCUUUUCUCCCACCUUCAAAAGAAUGAAGUACAGGUAUCCCCGCAAUAUCAUUAGAAUUUUUUAAAAGGUAACUAUGUCGGUUUCAUAUAAUACCCGAGCAUUGAAAAUCUUGACUUUACUUUCUUUUUGUAGACAAUUUUUCUUUCUGACAAAUUAUUUGAUUAUUUGAUAGAAUUUUUUCUAACUAGUUUAGUAAGCCAUUAUUUUGUGAGACAGGUGGAGUAAACUUAAUGAGAAAUUUCUUGAAAUCAAAAGAAGCGCGUUUUCGUUUAAUAACCUUGUAAAAGUAAUAUUUGAGUAAAUAAUCACGGUCAAAAUUUUUUUAGGGUAAAAGGUGAAUGACACUUUUGGUCCUCAAGCUAUGUGGUGCGUGAUACUUUGAACCUCAAAUUUUAAUUUGUGGUAAGUUUAGGCUCGCAUUUUUUGAAUUGUUACGUUCCAGUUGUACAAUCCAACUUGGAUGGUCAAAUAUUGACAAAUUGUCUGGAUAGAAGUAAUAUAACCACUUAAUUUUUGUCACUUCAUUCAUGAAAUUAUUUUCAUAUUAUUUUUAUAUCAAUAAUUUAUCAAUAUUUAGUCAACUAACAUAGAUUUUGAUUAAUUACAAUAAUUUAAAAAGUUCGAAUUAGAAAUUAUAAUAAAUUAAAAUUUGAGAAUCAAAGUAUUAUCCACCAUAUAGUUUGAGAAUCAAAAGUGUUAACUUACCCUUUUGGGUAAAUAACCUUAUUUGUGGCGCAUAGGUGCAUGAAAAACUACGAAAAUUUUAAUAACUGAGGUAUGCAUUUAAAAAUGUGCUGUAGUUCGGGUAAGAUUAAUACAUUUUCACAUCUUGAUUAUUGGUGGCAAUAGCUGACUUGAUCUAGAAUCUGGCUAAACAAAACAAGCUUUUCUUUUCUUUUAUUUUUUUCAUUUAUUUUCCGGGUUUUUUUUUGUGGGUUAGCAGUUUAUGAAUGCUAGAUAAUUACUCGUUGGGCCCAAACCACCAGCCCAAAAUGCUUAAGCCUAGAUAUUAUUACUAGCGUGUAGGCCUUAUAUAAACUGAUGUUAGAGAGGCCUCAUAUAAACUGAUGUGGGAUGGGUCUCCAAAUCAUAUCACAGACAGAUAGACCACCGGAAUUACCAGGUGAUGUGAGAUUUUAGAGAUUGCCUACGGGUGAUGUGAGAUUUUAGAGAUUGUCUACGGGUUCAAGAGGUGGCUCCCACCAAAUCCGUUGGUGUAGCACUUUGUCCCGCAUAGCACUUAGCUCUCAUAUUUCCGGCUGGCAUUCGACUUUGAUAUCAAUUGCAACGAUCCGACCCGCCAGGAACAAUAACUCGUUGGGUCCAAACCACCGGCUGAAAAUGCUUAAACCCAAUUAUUAUUACUAACGUGUAGGCCUCAUAUAAACUGAUCGAAAUCAGUAUCCCAUCCGAUAUGGGACUAUUGGGGCGUUACAGAUACAUAGCACUUAAUUAUACAUUACUAUAUCGUACUCUAAAAUUAUUUCUAUUCGUUACGUGUCAAUGUUGUACUAGUUCUUUAAUUAUACUUCACUAUAUGGUAUUUUAAAAUUAUUUUCGUUCUCUAGGUGUUUAUAUUGCAAUUUUAUUUAUUUUUGAAGGCACUACUAAGCUAUCUUUUGGAAAAAUCUCUCUAAUCUUUUAGUAAAAUUUUUUUAAAAUAAUUUCAAAUGAAAACAAUAUAAGCAAGAAUUAAGUAGCAAAUACUAUAGGGAAGAAAAGAUCAGAUAAGAUCUGUGAGUCAAGGCGUGCUAAGUAGCAUCUUUCAUUAACAUGCGUAUUUUUAUUUUUAUUUUCUACUCAGUAUAUGUAGUCUCUCUCGAAAUUGUCCCAGUAAAUAUAUAAAAAUUGGCACACCUUUUAUUUAGAACAGGACAUUCAUAUUUGCCUGAAGCAAAACAGGUUCUACCUUACAAGAAGGGAUGCAUCACUGGCUACUCCAUGGGUGUUCACUUUAUAAUUUUAGAUGCACCUUGAGUAUUCUGUAGGUGUUACUCUUCUUAAUAUAGGGCAAGCUUUUUACUAUUCUGCCUUAACAUUGGUAUAAAUGUACUUCAAGCUAUACGAGUGUGAAAAAAGUAGCAUCUUAACUAUACUACAACAAAAUUGAUUUUUUAUUGCGAACAAAAUCGCCACAAAAAAUAUAAUAAUUCACCACAAAAAUAAUUUUAUGGCGAAAAUAAUUUCGCUAUAGGGUCGCCAUAGUAGCACCGCUACAAAAGGUUAUGGUGGCCAAAACAAUUACGCCACAAAAACCACGUACAUACCUAUUAUGGAAAUUUUAUUGGACAUAAAUACUCCCAAAUUUGCCGCAAUAAAGUAUUAGAUGGCCAUAAAUAUGCAUAUUGAUAAUAACAAAAUAUAUGAUAUUUUGUGAGCAAAAUAAUUUUGGCCACGAGUAGUAACAUAUGAUUUAUAACAAAUUUUAAAAUGGUCACAACUAGCAUUAAUCAUAUAACAACGAAAAUUUCUGUUCAACCACAAAUAAUUCUUUACUGUUCGAGUAAAAAAAAAAAGAGACACCUAUAUAAAAGUAAAAUGGAAGAAUAAUUAGAGUAGGAAUCCUAGCCUAUUUGAAAGAAAAAAAAAGAAAAAAAAAGAAAAAAAAAGAAUUACCAAAAAAAAAAAAAAGAGGGAGAAAAAAAAGGAGUUAAAAAAAUGAGGAAAGAAAGCAACAAAAAAAAAAAAAAAAAAAAAAAAAAAAGGAAAGAAAGAGAAAAUCUCUUGUUAUUUAAUAAAGGGAAGAUAUCAACAAUGGUAUUAAUCAUUAAUUAAAUAUCUAGUUUCUUAUAGAAGAUGAAGGAUAAUAAGUUCCUUUGAGAAAUUUAUUUGAAUUAUUUCUAAAAAAAAUAAAUGUUGUUGAAUUCCUAUAAAUUAGAUCCAAUGUAGGAAAAGAGGAUUAUUUUUUUUUUUUUUUUUGGAGAGGAGGAGAAAAAGAGAAAAAAGGUUAAGAGAAGCGGAAAAAAAAAAAAAAAAAAAAAAAAAAAAAAAAAAAAAAAAAAAAAAAAAAAGAGAAAGAGAAGAAGAACAGUGAGAAAAAAAAAAAAGUAACAAUUUUUUUUUCUUUUUUUUUUCUUUUUUUUGUUCAUCCCCUCCACCACGUGUGCAGGGGGGUCUUCCCCCCCUUCCGCGCGCCAGCAGCAACAAAGGGAGGGGGGUGUGCUCACAGCACACCCCUCCCCCAAACCGUACCAAAGAAAAAAACACAAAGAAGAAGCUUGGCUUUUUUUCAUUCAAUGACGGCGCGACGACGACAACGACUUCGACGACGCCUGAGGAGGCCAUACGGCCUCUUUUUUCUUUUUUUUUUACAAUGGUGAUGGAUUGUUGUAUACGCGCAAACGAUGUAGCCGCGAUUUUUAUGUCGGUUUGAUCAACACGACCGUCGUGAUAGGUUGACGCGAUCAAAUUUGACAUUCAAUCGUUACUAUAUCAUGCGCACGUAUUCUUUAAGCCUAUCUCCCUCAACAUCGCCUCCGCUAUAAUGACGUCGAAAAAAAAAAAAAAACAACAUGUGUCUACGAGCGACGGUAGUGAUCCUUAUGUCGGGUUGAUCGAGCGGCCGUCUUCGCAAUAGGCUCGACACUUUCAAUCCCGACAUUAGAUCGUUACCCUCGUCGGACCCAUGAUUACACCGAGCGGCCAUCUUCACGAUAGGCUCGACACGGUUGAACCCCGAUUCGGACCACAAUGAUAAUAAUAAUAAUACUAAAAUGAUAAUAACAUAAUAAAUAUUUUUCUCGGGUCGCCGUCUUCGUGAUAGGCUUGAUCCGAGUUCGGUUCACCGGGUCGCCGUCUUCGUAAUAGGCUUGACCCGAGUUCGGUUCAUUAAACCGGGUUGCCGUCUUCUUGAUAGGCUUGACGCGAGUUCGACUAAUUAAACUAGGUCGCCGUCUUUGUGAUAGGCUUGACCCGAGUUCGAUUCGUUAAACCGGGUCGCCGUUUUCGUGAUAGGUUUGACCCGAGUUCGGUUCAUUAAACCGGAUCGCCGUCUUCAUGUUAGGCUUGAUCCGAGUUCGACUAAUUAAACCGGGUUGCCGUCUUCAUGAUAGGCUUGAUCCGAGUUCGGUUCGUUAAACCGGGUCGCUGUCUUCGUGAUAGGCUUGACCCGAGUUCAGUUCAUUAAACCGGAUCGUCGUCUUCAUGAUAGGCUUGACCCGAGUUCGGUUCAUUAAAUCGGAUCGCCGUCUUCGUGAUAGGCUUGACCCGAAUUCGACUAAUUAAAUUCGGUUCAAUUAACCCAAUUAACCCAAUUUAAAUUCGGUUCAUUAAACUGGAGAAAACAUGCUGACAACACAUUAGAGGCUAAUAGAAUCUCAUAUAUAAAGGAUUUAAUUGAAAUUCUAGCUUAAUCAUCAGGGCGAGGUUAGUGGUGUUCCGGAAGUUCGAUCCGCUGAAAUUCGCAGGAAGGAAUGAUGACAGUUGGGUAGUCGAGAGCUGGGUUGCCCAUAUGGAGAAACUAUUCCACGAUCUGCAUAUCGAGGAGCGGGAUAAAGUUCCUCUGGCUACCCACUGCCUGGAGGAUGAGGCGUACCGUUGGUGGUUGCCCCACUUCGAGAAGAAACUAGAUGAGAUCUACCCACCUUGGAAGGACUUUCGGGAACUCCUCUACAGCCAGUACUUCAAGGAUAGCACCAACCAAGGUUUGAAGCGCAAGCUAGAGCGUCUCAAGCAGGGCAACCGUACUGUGGCAGAAUAUGAGACUGUGGCAGAAUAUGAGCGAAACUUUUCUCACAUUGUUGGGCUGAUUCCGUUCGUGGUCUGUGACGAGUACCAUAAGGCCCGGCUGUUUGCGAUGGGGCUAAGGCCCAGUAUUCGACUUCUGAUCGCGUCCCAUGGCGUGUUAACGUUCGACGAGAGCCUGGAUCGGGCCCUGCUGGUACAGAAUAAUAUGGAAGAGGCUCGAAUCGAACAGGACGCAUAUGAGAAGAACGAGGAUAGGAAGCGUUCACAAGAGAGCUUUGGUGGUGGCCAAUCAAGUGAUGGGUGACCACCUAAACAUUGCAAGACGCGGUCAGGAUCGAGUAGUGCCCCCGCUGCAACUCAGAGGCAGAGCACCAAACCUUGUGUCAUUUGUGGCAAGGCUCACGAGGUUUAUGAGUACCCAAAGCGCCACAAUCACUGUUACAAGUGUGGCCAACAUGGACACCUUCGGGUAGAUUGUAACAUCCCGCACUCUUAACUGCUUGUUUUAACUCAUAUUCUUUUAAAAUUCGGACCUUUUCGUAAAUAUUAGUUUUUGAGGAACUCGGCGGCAUUUUGUGCCAAGUAAUCACUAAUUCCUAAUUAUCUCCACCAUCCGUUUGACCUAGCCGCAACCCUCCUUAAUUCCUCCCUCAUUGCACCCGUACGGCUCCACCCUCCCUCACGCGUGCACGACGCCGUUGAUCACCGUCAUCGUCGCCGUCGUCCGCGGCAGCCGCCGCAAUCCUCAUCCGUCGGCAUUUUUUUGAUUCGUCGUCGACGACAUUUCAUCGUCGUCGUUUCUAUCUUUAAGAAGGUUCAUUCCUUUCACUUUCAUCUCUGCACCUAUUCUUGAAAGCAUCUAAAUUUAUCGAUAAUUAGGUGAUUGUUGUUAGGUAUUCUUCUUUGAUGAUUAUUUCUAGGAUCAUUCAAAUCUGAUUUCGAAUGGUCUAAAUUAAUGUUGUUCAAAUCGUUAACCUUAUACCUUGUGUUCUGCAUAUGAUUUGGUUUUGUUGACUUUGCAUAUUCUACAUACUUUUAGAAUGCCCGUGAUAUGUUCGAUGAAACGCCUAUGAGAGGGCGAAUUUCGUUUUGUUUCUAAUUUUGAUCUCAUCUAAUUGUAAAUUGCCUAUUAAUAUUUCAACAUCUGAAAACCCUCUUUUCGAGUAUUAGAUCCUUCCUUUAUUAUUUUAAAACCUUAUUCAUCUUAUCUUGCUUCUUUGAAUAUUUUAAUCCUUAAAACUCAUCAUCCUCUUGAUUGCUAAUUGAGUUUCGUCCAAUUUUUAAUAUUCUAAAUCCCUUUGUGCUCCAUCCCGACCUAUUUGCAUACCUUUAUAUCCCCUUUUGCAUGUUCAUUUUGGUUAGCUUAUAGAGAAUCGCGUGUCUCUAUUUUAGGUUCCGACGAUUGAAUUUUCGGCGCAUUCUCGACUGGAUAAUUUUUCUAUCUUUGAGGUAUUCGUUAAGGUAAGCGACCGGACACCUGUUAGUUUUGUAAAAUAAUUUAGGAAAUAAUUUGAUUGUGUAAAAAUCUUUAUUUUGUAGAAUUAAAAAUUAAGGGUUAAGCGUAUAUCAAAUAUUUUUCCAAACUGAGUUUCAAAUGUGAUUGAAAGGCUUUCUUUAACAAAGAAUUUUGAAAGUUGAUUAUCUAUUCUGUAAGUUAGUGACUGGAUAAUUUUGAAUUAAAAUGUCUCUUGGUAUUCUGCUAUGCUAAUGUUGGCCAUGUCGACAUAUACUUUGUUAUAGAAGCAAGCUUCGUCUUUGUUUGUGCCUCCAGGUGCCUGCGCCUAUCCGCGCCUCUGUUUUGUUUGCGUCUUCGGGUGUCUGCGCCUAUCCGCGCCUCUGUUUGGUUUGCGCCUUCGGGUGCCUCUAUUUUGUUUACGCCUUCGGGUGUCUUUGGAUCUCGCCAACGGAUCAUAAGAUAUAGUUAAAUGCCGGAGACAAUAUUUAUUUUGUUUAUAUGUCGAAAGGGAAAUGCUUUGAAAAAUUAUAGUUUCAAUCCGAUCUGAAUUUGAAGUUUUGAUAAAUUCUUGUUUUCUUAAAUUUUGCAAAUUAAAAUCAGUCGCUUGAAUUAAUUUGUAUAUCUAUUUAUUUGUAUGCUUAAUCCGACUAAUGUGGCGUAUGGUUGCUUACCCAGGUACUGAGACCGAUUCGCAGGGCGGGGCUGGGAGCGAGUGAACGUUAGAUGUAGCUAGAUUUGAUUCUAGCCUCUUCGUCCUAUUUCUAUUGUAUUUAGAUAUGAACUUUGAACUUCGUAGAUAAUCAUUGUUUAUCUGUUUCUACUUUGUUAUUUCAUCGUACCCAUAUUUGUUACUUAAGCACUAGUUAGACUAAAUUUUGUUUGAUAUGCAUAAUAAACUAUAGUUCUGCUUAUAUGUGAUUUUCUUUGAUUCUAGUUGAAUUUAAAUUGAUGACCUCAUCUUUCGACAAUUUGGAUUUCUAUUUUUAUGAUCAUCUCUGUAUGUGAUUUGUCUGAUUCUGAAGCCUUGCAUAUUUACUAAAUAAUAGAUAUGCGGCGUCUGUUAUGCCUCGGGUUUGGGGCGUGACACAGAUUGCGCCAACAGACCAGGAACAGUAUCUACUGCAGCAUCUACUCCAGCAGCUCCAUGGCAGGAUGUGGCAACAUGACGUAUUCUUCAUCUCGACGCCCCUCGACAUCCCAGCAGGAGGAGGGGGCACACCAAACCACUGGCGGACGCGUCUACAUGAUGACGCGCCAGGAGGAAGAUCAAUCGGCUGACGUCGUCGCAGGUAUAACUUUUGUUUGAUGCCGUAAAUAGAACGCUUUUCGUUAUCAAUGCAUCUUUUCUCGCAUCGCAUCCAUGUGUUGUUCUGGUUCAUUAAGCAUCACAUCACCCUUACCUGUGGGCAAGUUUCGGGGAUGAAACUUUCUUUAAGGAAGGAUGAUGUGAGGACUGAGAAUUUGGCAGUGUAGCUAAACUCUUUGUUGGCGAUAUUUUUGUGUGUAUAUUAAUUAGAAAAGCAUUCGUCAAGUUUCAAAAAAAAAUGAGUUAGAAUGAAAAUUUUACGUGAUCUUUACUUUUCACUUAAAAUGAAUAGUAACCGGAUUUUCGGAGAGGCCAAUAAGUAGAGAUGGCUUUCGGCGCGUAUCGGACUCCGUUCAUAGUGAUCCAAUAUAUCGUUUUCAACGGUUCGACUAUCCUAGACCCAAUGGCGCUGACGGAUUUUAGGUUUGACGCAUGGAUUUUGAGAAAAUUAGAUAUACAUAUAUAUUAUAUAUUUGUGUGUGUGGUUUUUCUAAUUUGGAGAGAGAAUGGGUUUCGUUGCGAAUCUGCGACCAAACCAAGCGAAAUAAAAUUGUGGGUUUCAUGUUCCUGUCAUGCUGAAUGCACUGUUGUGAUCCGUUCGCAAAUCUGACCGACGGAUCUCCUGAUAUCGCGCAAUGAUCGAGGAGGGUCAUAAAUGGCGAAACAGACAUUUUGCGAAAAGCCCUACAUUUUAUGUACCGUUUUGCGUGAUUUCGAACGUGGGGGUACGUAAUCGCAUUUUACUAACCUGUGAAGGACUCAGUAAGAAAAUCUGAGUUUUUGGGGACUUUUGUGUAAAUUUACAUCUUAUAUAUAUGUAUGCACUAGGGUUUUCAUGGUCCAAACCCUAACCCUAGCCCUUGCCACCCUGAGCUGAGACCCUAGCCGCCUCCCUUGAUUCCCCUUGCCCUAGCCGCACGUACCCCGGCAGCCUGCCCAUGCCGCCGGCCGCCGGAAUUGGCCGCUUCUUCCUCGCAAGCACCCCCUCCAUCAUCAACCUCCACCACAUUGUCCGAGCAGCCACUUUGAAGGGCUCUUUGACCUCAGGAUCCUCCCCUGGCCGUGCCUCCGACCUCCAGUGACCUCCCCCGCCGGUCGCCGCCGUCCCCUCACACCGCCGUCACCGCCUGGGCAGCUCACAGCCAACCCAAGCCAGCUCGGGCUAAGGCCGAGUCCACUCCCUCCCAUCGCGCCGCUGCCGCCUAGGGCUGGCCUCACAGCCUCCCUCCGACCUCCAGCGACCUCCCCUGCCGGUCGCCGCCGUCCCCGAGCGCGGCCAUUGCCGGCCUAACAGCUGCGACCAAGCUGUGCCAGCUAGGGCCGAGAGAGCUUCAGAUCUUUCCUCUCGCGCCGUCUCCAUCUAGGGUCGGCCGCGCCGCCUCCCUCCGGCCUCCCGCAGCCUACCGCCGUCGCCCAUGAGCGCCCCGCCGGGAACCGUGGUCGCCACUGCUCCCAAACCCGAGCCCUAGUUGUGCGAGCUUUCCUUGCUCCGCCGCCCCUCCAGCUGCCUCCUGCCGCCAGCCAGUGCAAGCGCCGACCUCCCCACAUUGGCUGCACCCGCCUACCGCUGGCACACCCGCUGCCGAGCCGUCGCCGGCCGUGCUCUGGCUUCCCUGCUCCGAUAAGCAUAGUUAAGGCUUUUGGUUGGUGUUUUUGGGUUAUGCUUGCUUUUCCAGCGAUUCGAGGUUGCCCCGAUGCCUCCGGAGGUGAGCACAAUGAUUGCUGGUCAGUGCUGAUCAUAGUGCUGACCUCACUUAGGAUCAGCGGAUUCUGAAUCUGCAUUUUCGGCAUGGUUUACCCCGAGUGCGCGCGUGUCUCAGCUGACCUAAAAAAUUCUCGAUUUGUGGUAACGAGCCACAAAACAUCCUUAUUUACAUAAAAUAAUAGAAUUUUAUGUAAAUGUAGGGACUUUUAUGCAAUUUUGCAUCUUGUGGCUAUUGUAGGCAGUAUGUAUGUGUGGGAGGUGACCUCUGGAUUGAUCGUAAGAGGUCCGAAGCCCUUUGUGAAAAUCAAAUAUCGAUUUCGGUGCAUUUUUCGGCGAAAUUCGCCGGCAGAACGCGGUUUCGGUUCAAAUUUCGUCCGACGGUGUCUGAUUGCCCUGAGUUUUGUCGCUGAGCCUUGUUGGCUGGUCACCAUCGUCAUAUCGUGAGUUCGGAGAUGACGGGUGAGCAACGGUAAGUUCCAGUGUCGAAAUUGACACUUCCGGAAACCCGAAUGUGAACGAUUAUCCCCCGAUAAUCGUUUUGAUGUGUAACCUUGUGUUUGCUACCAGGACAUCCAAAACGAUGUGUUUUGUGGCAGCGGGUGACUCGUGGCAUGAGUCGGUGAGUUUCAGGACACUUUGUGGGUCCCGACGGCGUCCCGGUGUGAUUUUAGGGACUUCCGGCCAGUUACGGUGAUCGGUUUUAGGAAACCGAUUUCGGGGAUUUGUGUGGGUGCUGCGAGCUGGUAGUCGAUGAGAUCGUUUCACUUUCCUCUUCCUUGCUCUUGCUCUUGUAUAUCAAUACUUUAGUCUCUACAUGUCAGUUGCUUUUGUUAUUGUUCGUUCAUCUAUAUCUUGCUAGUUGCGUGGUGACAGUUGUUGAUAGACAUAUAGAGCAAACUUGCAUAUAUUGUAUAUUUGUGGACCUUGGGUCCAGGCAACACAUUGACUCCUUUGUCGUGUGUUUCGAUCUAGCUGAUCAUGGUUCGGCAUUGUACGCCCUUGUAUCUCACUUCGGCCAAGGCACCGGUUUUUGUAUUGAGCAUAUCAGCAUGAUUUAGUGACAGUACUGUGUAUUCUAGACACCGGUUGGUUUGGCCACCGACCAGGGGGUGUACGUAUCCGGAUAGGUCGUUAGUGGACGCAUGAAUCAAGUCAAUGUAAGCUCUGUGACAGGCAACGCUUGAGGUCUGCAGACCAAUAUGGCAGGCACGAAAUUGGGUACAGUUUUGGUUUGAUUACCUUGAGGCAUGCUCAGCAUUGUAUUCCUUACAGUAGCAGUUUUUAUUAUUUGCUCUCUAUUAUAUCUGUUGUUAUAGCUACUGUAGUUGUUCUUCAUAUCCUUACACAUAUAUCAGUUUGUUCUAUCUCCUUUGUUUUUCAGUGAAUACGAUUUGCCUUCAUGGCUCUACCAUACCCACUGGAAAACCUUAAUUGUGGUUUCUCACCCCUAAUUUCCCAAGGUGGCUCGGGCAAGGAGUUGGUUCUUGGUGCGACGGGAGGACGUUCUAGCUACACUGUAGUAGCAAUCGCCACCCUCGUUACUUUUCAUUUUC